UACGGGGGGGGCAAGCGUUGUUCGGAAUUACUGGGCGUAAAGGGCUCGUAGGCGGCCAACUAAGUCCGACGUGAAAUCCCCAGGCUCAACUUGGGAACUGCGUCGGAUACUGGAUGGCUUGAAUUCGGGAGAGGGAUGCAGAAUUCCAGGUGUAGCGGUGAAAUGCGUAGAUAUCUGGAGGAAUACCGGUGGCGAAGGCGGCAUCCUGGACCGACAUUGACGCUGAGGCGCGAAAGCCAGGGGAGCAAACGGG
rnacentral:rRNA from 1 species